ACAUGGGUGGUUCAGUGGUAGAAUCCUUGCCUUCCAUGCAGAAGACCUGGGUUCAAUUCCUGGCCAGUGCA
rnacentral:tRNA from 1 species